GCAAUUUUUACCGAAAAGGAUGUCAUCCCAGUGCUUGACUACUUGGAUCCAGAAAACUUAACUGUAAAUGAGCGCACUAGGCAAUUGUAUAACAAGAACUGGAUUCCAGUGUCAGCUACUUGCAUGACACUACCUGCUACGCAAACU
rnacentral:ncRNA from 1 species